rfam:TPA: Bos taurus chromosome 1, whole genome shotgun sequence.
GUGUAAUGUUUAGCACUCUGGACUUUGAAUCCAGCGAUCUGAGUUCAAAUCUCGG